UUUUUGCCCUUCGCCUUUCCUUCCGUUUUUCCCUUCGUCAUUCCUUCCGUUUGGUGUCGACGUUUUCGGUGGAAGUCAGUGAACUGCUCCACCAACCCUGCCCGCUGCAGACCCACUCCAAACUGCUUCCUUGAAGCGAUGGACUUGAGAUGACCACUCAGUCCCAUACAUUCUUUAGCCUCUCUCUCAUACAUUGUGCAUUCCCGAAGAUUUGGUCAAUGAGAUAUCUGAAGAGAUCCCCAUCAAAUUCAACUUUCCUGUUCUCUUCUCUUCUUCCAUCUCCCUUUUGUUACAGGAGAAUAGAUGCUGAAAAAAUCAGUUGAGCCAUAGUGUUCUUGUGCUAUAAACAUUCCUUGAUCUGAUCUAAUUUAAUCAAUUUUGCUUGCUUAGGUUUUUGUCCGAGAAUAGAACUCCUCUUAUUCUCCCUAAUUUUUUUCCCUCAUGUGUUGGAAGGUGAGAAUCAUGUACUCACGAGGAAAUCUUUGUCGCCCUUUAAGGAGAGGAAUGGGUUUUAUUUUUUCUCUCAGUUUUACUUCCUCUUUUUUUCCUCUUAUGCAUAAUUUUUUCCUUACUUUCUUGCCAUAACUGUUCUGUUUUUUUCUUUUUUCCACAAUAAAACUUCGUUGCACUUUAAGAAGGGAAAUAAAAAAUUUAUUAAUGUUUUGUCUCCUUGUCUUAUUGCCUAGCUUGAUCUGAUUCAUGCAUCUUGAAGAGCAAUCGUCCAGGAGGAGAAAAGGAAAGAAUAGUUUGAUGCUGUUGGCUUCAGCGAGCCCUGCAAUGGAGUAAAAAUUGUAGCAUUCCAGCUAAGCAUUUUCUUCUGGGGGAUAGAUCUUGAAGAUUAGCUUCAAGAUAUAAAGAUGGGUUAUUUAGUUGUGUACUACGUGGGAUUGUGGAUAUGGUUGUCUUUGUUUAGUUAUAGCUCCAUUUUCGUGUACUCUGAGAUUGUAAAAGACACUGGAACAUCCCAAGGCUUUGUAUUUGUAGAUGGGAUUAGUGCCAUUGGAGAAAUAGAUGACGAUUUCAUUUGUGCCACCUUGGAUUGGUAGCCACCUGAGAAAUGUGACUAUGGAACCUGUAGCUGGGACCAUGCUUCCCUUCUCAUUCUGGAUCUUAACAACAUAAUUUUAUUAAAUGCAGUAAAAGCUUUUUCGCCAUUAAAGAUUAGACUUGGGGGCACCCUGCAAGAUAAUGUCAUAUAUCAAACUCAGAGUAAUCAAUGCUGCCAUUCAUUUGUUAAGAAUUCCCCAGAGUUGUUUGGCUUCACUCAAGGGUGCCUUCCUUCGUCUUGAUGGGAUGAAUUAAACUCCUUUUUCAAGAAAUCUGGGUACAUAAGAAGCACCACCUUGGUUAGUUAGACUGAGAAUAAGGUCCGAUGGUUCAAUAGUUGGAGCUUGGGAUUCCUCAAAUGGUGAAGCUUUUAUUCAUUACAUUGUUGAAAAGGGCUACAACAUAUAUGGCUGGGAACUUGGGAAUGAACUAUCCGGCGGUGAAGUUGGGACAAGAGUUGCACCUGAUCAGUAUGCUUCUAAUACAAUCGUACUACACAACAAAGUACUAGAAAUCUACAAGGAUGUAGCAAACAAGCCAAUUGUUUUAGCGCCAGGAAGAUUCUUUGAUGUCAACUGGUUUACAGAUUUUUUGCACAGGACCAACAACGCUGUAGAUUUGUAUUGGAACAGAUUGCCUUUCUUUUUUUAUUUAAAUCAGAUGGUGAAAAUGAUUUGCCUCACCUACUUAUGUGCCUAUAAUUUGUUGAAGAAAAUGACCUUUUGUUUAUUCAGCUUAACCUAAGCUUUCGCCUUUCUUGGAUUUCUUCUGGAGCUGGAAGCAAAAAUGGCCACCCGUGAAAAACAACUGGUGAGGGAAAACGUAUUUUGUUGAUCUUCUCAAAAAAAGCAAUGUAUAUGGUGAUUAAAGGUUUGCCCAAGAUAAGGAUUCUCAAAUAUUAGAUUCUAAGCACCUGCUUGAAAUAGUAACACUUGGCGCAGUUGGUCGUGAAGUACUGGACUCGUGCCUUGAUGGCGCAGUUGCUCGAGAAGAAUUCGGGGCAUCUCUAGCUGGUUGCAAAGAACUUGGGGAGUGUGUCGAUGGCACAUUUGCGGGCAAAGAAUUUCCGAUAUGUCUUGAUGUUGGUCCAGAAGAGCUUGGCAUAUCUCUUGAUCGCGCAAUUGGUCGGGAAGAAUUUCCGCUAUGUCUUGAUGGCGCACUUUCAUUCCAGUUUCGGUUCAAAGUCUCCGGGUGAUAAUCGGGGCUUGAUCUUGAUCUUGUAGAUCUAUUAAGCAAGCUACUACCAGUUCUUGCACUGCCAGAGCUUCU